rnacentral:misc_RNA from 1 species
AAAAUGCCCCUUGAAAAGACGAUGUCCUCUAGAUUUCAUUUCUUAAAUAACAACAGUACUCAAAUGCCCAUGAUAUCUAGUAUAUAAGAAACUAACAUCAUAAUACAACUCUAAACUUGGAAGGUUAACCACUGCUUUGUGCUGGUUUGCUAAGUUUCUUGCUGAGAAGGUCCUGCACAUCAAGCCCAUUAACUUUGGCAGCUAGUAUGAAAUCAUUUUCUGUGAGUCCACCCACAGAAUGAGUCCAUAUAUCAAUUUUCACAUUAUUCCACCCAACAAGAUGAAGAUCUGGAUGA